CACCAGCUCGCCGCACUCGACCAGAUUAAAAAGGGUGAGCCCUUGACUGAUGAGCUGGUGAGAGAGUACGCGCCUCGACUGCGGUUCCUGUCGCGACCACCCUCGCCGCAGACGCUUGAUGACAGUUCCCAACCCUCUAGCAGUAACAAUGAUAAAAGUUCCUAUAUGAAUCAAA